CCCGUGCGUGCUGGAUAGGGUUCCACGCCACCCUCACCGGUCGCCGCCGCCCUCACCGGUCGCCGCCGCCGCCCUCACCGGUCGCCGCCGCCGUCGGUUUCCCCUACAUGGCCGGAGGAUAGGCCAUCCCGCCGGUCCAUUCCCGCCCCACCGCGAGGGAGGAGACCGACCAGUUGCGCCUCCCCGCCGGUCGCCGCCCGCCACCCCAAGGAUCAAGGCCGGCCGCGCCGGUCCCCGUCGGUCGCUGCUCUAGAUCUAGGCCGCCCACCGCGCCGCCCCCGUCAGCCCGAUCUAUUUCCCACCGGAUCCCAUCUUCGCCGCUGUCCGACGUGCCUUCUUCAAGGAGCUGUGACCCCAUGUCUCAGAGGAGCUAGCCCCGACGCCAUUGAUGCCCGAGCGACGCUCCCAAUCUAGGAGCGGCACCAGGACGACCACGCCCCCGAAGCCUAAACUGCAAGGUCGUCUGCAUUCCUAAUGGCUCUUCUAUCCGUGCAUCAACACCAAUAUUGGAUACAAGCUUUCCAAUCGCCACCACAUCUUGGUCUGGAAGGACAGAAGCGGCAUGAGAUUUCUUAGAUUUUGAUGGAUACAUGCACAAUGAGGAUGAUGCCAAAUUUGGGCAACUACAUUGCCGUCUCACCCCUCUCACCCUCAGAUUUGCUUCAGAUCACGGAAGCUUCGGUUGAUGGAGUGCUUGUCUUUAGUUUUUGUUUUGACUUUGUGAAACUUGCUACCUAUGAUGAAACUGUGUAAUAUUGAUGAAACUAUGUAUAUGUAUGGAUGAAACUUGCUACUAUUGGUAA